rnacentral:rRNA from 1 species
UACGUAGGGUGCGAGCGUUGUCCGGAAUUAUUGGGCGUAAAGAGCUCGUAGGCGGUGUGUCACGUCGGCCGUGAAAACCUGCAGCUUAACUGUGGGCGUGCGGUCGAUACGGGCAUCACUGGAGUUCGGCAGGGGAGACUGGAAUUCCUGGUGUAGCGGUGAAAUGCGCAGAUAUCAGGAGGAACACCGGUGGCGAAGGCAGCUCUCUGGGACGGUACUGACGCUGAGACGCGAAAGCGUGGGGAGCGAACAGG